rnacentral:rRNA from 1 species
UACGUAGGGCGCGAGCGUUGUCCGGAAUUAUUGGGCGUAAAGAGCUCGUAGGCGGCCUGUCGCGUCGGUUGUGAAAGCCCGGGGCUCAACCCCGGGUCUGCAGUCGAUACGGGCAGGCUAGAGUUCGGUAGGGGAGAUCGGAAUUCCUGGUGUAGCGGUGAAAUGCGCAGAUAUCAGGAAGAACACCCGUGGCGAAGGCGGUUCUCUGGAACGCAACUGACGCUGAGACGCGAAAGCGUGGGGAGCAAACAGG